rnacentral:lncRNA from 1 species
UGUAUUUUUAUAAUUUUGAUAUGUAUUUUAUUUUAGGUAUUCAAGAAAUGGCAACAGCCAGAAGUCGCCAUCUUAUCCAGCACGUUAUGGGUACACUCUGGCGGCUCCUACCCCUGCGUCCUACCACCACCCUGUCCCGACUACGUCCACUAGGGAGUUGGAAGCCUUUGGCGGCUUCUGCCACUGCAUCCUGCCACCACCAUGUCCCGACCACGUCCACUAGGGAGUUGGCAGCCUUACUGAUGAUGCCAAGCAGGCUGACAGCAGACAGAAAUAUUCAGGUUGCCUUGAAAUUUUACCCAAGCCAUGCCACAUACUCGGCCCAGGCCUCUUGCGAACUACGUAUACCCAGGCUCAACGCAUCACUGUCGAGUGAGUCCGGAGAUCAAGGAAACCUGCUGUGCAACCAUCGCGCAACACUUGGUGACCCCUCUACGUGUUC